rnacentral:rRNA from 1 species
UACGUAGGGUGCGAGCGUUGUCCGGAAUUAUUGGGCGUAAAGAGCUCGUAGGCGGUUUGUCACGUCUGCUGUGAAAUCCCGAGGCUCAACCUCGGGCCUGCAGUGGGUACGGGCAGACUGGAGUGCGGUAGGGGAGAAUGGAAUUCCUGGUGUAGCGGUGGAAUGCGCAGAUAUCAGGAGGAACACCGAUGGCGAAGGCAGUUCUCUGGGCUGGACACUGACGCUCAUGCACGAAAGCGUGGGGAGCGAAACAAGG